UUUAGAGGGAUAAGGGCCAAACACAGGCAGGUGGGACGAGCGUAGAUAGGGCAGCUUGGUCGGCAUGGGCAGAGUGGGCUGAAGGGCCU